rnacentral:rRNA from 1 species
CGAUGAACCACUUCGGUGGGGAUUAGUGGCGAACGGGUGAGUAACACGUGGGCAAUCUGCCCUGCACUCUGGGACAAGCCCUGGAAACGGGGUCUAAUACCGGAUACUGAUCCUCGCAGGCAUCUGCGAGGUUCGAAAGCUCCGGCGGUGCAGGAUGAGCCCGCGGCCUAUCAGCUUGUUGGUGAGGUAACGGCUCACCAAGGCGACGACGGGUAGCCGGCCUGAGAGGGCGACCGGCCACACUGGGACUGAGACACGGCCCAGACUCCUACGGGAGGCAGCAGUGGGGAAUAUUGCACAAUGGGCGAAAGCCUGAUGCAGCGACGCCGCGUGAGGGAUGACGGCCUUCGGGUUGUAAACCUCUUUCAGCAGGGAAGAAGCGAAAGUGACGGUACCUGCAGAAGAAGCGCCGGCUAACUACGUGCCAGCAGCCGCGGUAAUACGUAGGGCGCAAGCGUUGUCCGGAAUUAUUGGGCGUAAAGAGCUCGUAGGCGGCUUGUCACGUCGGUUGUGAAAGCCCGGGGCUUAACCCCGGGUCUGCAGUCGAUACGGGCAGGCUAGAGUUCGGUAGGGGAGAUCGGAAUUCCUGGUGUAGCGGUGAAAUGCGCAGAUAUCAGGAGGAACACCGGUGGCGAAGGCGGAUCUCUGGGCCGAUACUGACGCUGAGGAGCGAAAGCGUGGGGAGCGAACAGGAUUAGAUACCCUGGUAGUCCACGCCGUAAACGGUGGGCACUAGGUGUGGGCAACAUUCCACGUUGUCCGUGCCGCAGCUAACGCAUUAAGUGCCCCGCC